rnacentral:lncRNA from 1 species
CAGGAUCUUUGUAAGUGAGAAUUUCUCUGUAACAUUCUUUCAUUCCUUGAUAUUAAGCUUCUAGAAUUCACCUUUAAGUAACUUUAAUUUCUUCCAAACACACUUUAUAGGUGACCUAUGCCAAUUUUUAGUCAAGCUAUUACUUUCAAAUGGAAGAAAAUAAAUAUGAUCAGUAAUAUGGUUUAUGAACAUUAAAGGCUUUGCUUUGAUCUGUAGUUGGU